ensembl:lncRNA
AUAUUUUUCCACAAGUCUCCAGUCAUCUUUAUUUCUUUCGUUCCCCUCUCCUCUGCUCAUUUCUAUACGCUCCUUCAUCUUCAAGCUCCUUUUCAUUUCUCUUGAGGAGCAGUUUAUCUUUCUAUUUUCUGACACUAAAAUCUAUGCGUUGGGGGCUUCAUUUCUCAUCCUUCAUGCAGCUUAUUAAGAUCAAACUUGGACCAUUGUGCUGAGGUCAAGCUACUGCAGUUUAAAAUGGAUAUAGUAAAUUGAAUUCACUCAGAGGAAAGCAACCAAGGGGAUGCAAGUUGUUUUGCAGUUUAAUGCACCAAUGCAGAAAGGAAGAGGGAGGGCUAUGAGCAGCAACAGAGACAUCAGCAAGCUGAAGGGACCUGUCCGUGUUCUUCAGCCAAAGACCAUCAGGAACGCACCUGAAAUUGAACAAGUGGAGUGAUGCAGGGGGAGAUUUGACAGACAGAACAGGAGGAUACACAAGACAAGGAAGGAGGAGGUUGAAGUGAUGCAUCUACAAGCCAAGGAAUGUGAAGGAUCGUUGGCAGCUGCCAGAAGUUAGGAGACAGCAUGAAAUGGAUUCUCUCCUGUACUCCCCCAAGCGGACCAACCCUGCCCACCCUUCAUUUUGGACUCCAGGCCUCCAGAACUGAGAAGGAUAUCAAUCAUACGGUGAAGAUUUGGGGACUUCAACCUAAGGGAGAUUUGGCCGAGGGGCUCCCAGAAAAACUAUGUUUAAGAACAACAUCUACUGUCUUCUCUGGAGGCCUCCUCUCUCCACCUGCAAUGCAUUCGAAGUCCACUGGGAUUUCUUUCUCCGAUUAUAAUUUAUUAAUGCUAAAAUGGACUUUAAGGACCUUCUCCGUCACAUGUUCUUCAGUCGCCAUAAGACUUAAAACAUUUCCGUUGCUAUGCUGAAUAUUCUACUCAAAGCUGACAACUGCAAGAAGUUAAGUGUCUGUUUACCAAUACCUCAACAUAAGGUUUAGUGUGUAUUCUUGAUUUUCCCUAGCCAGGAUGACAGAAGCGAACCUUCUGGCAAUGUAGAGAACUGUCUGCCAUAUUAUGUGGUAUGUCUUGUCGAGAUCUUAGACAUGCUAGGCUGUAGCCUGACUUUGGUGUCCUGUUGAAGGCGAAGGGCAGGUCUAUGGUCUUAUGAGUAGAGAGGAGAUGGGAGACUGUUCUCUCUGGGCAGAUGUGCAAAGCAGCAGACUGCAGGCAGACCCUUAGGCUUAGGUGUGGGAGAGAACUCCUAUCUCUCUUGUCCUUACUGUUCAUUCUGAACUUCCAGGAGCCUAGACAGGCUUGAAGACCCUCUGGAGGGAGGGAUUACAAACAGCCUCAACCAGAGUGAAGCAAAUCUGGAGAGAGGAUGCAAGUAUCGCUGUAACAACCUCCACGACGAGGAUGAGUGAAGGGAACCUAAGUGUUUAAUUGCCAAAAACUUCAGGUGUCCGCCCGCCUUUUCCUUUCUGGGUCUUAAGAGUCUUUUUCAAAGUCUCAAACUUGUCUCAGCCAUGCUGUGGAAGUCAGGAGAGGAAUUACAUGUGCACUCUUGGGCUGAAGUGUUAAAGGGGGAGAAGCAACUCCUUCCCCUUGAAUCAAGAGAUCCACAAGUGGCUGGGGUGUAGCUUUGAGUAGCUGUUAGGACCUCCUUACAUGAAGACUUUUUCUCUGUUGCUGGAAUGUCUUGAGGCUGGUAAAUGUCCUUAUGUUUCCUAAAUGAGAAUCAUCUUAUCAACUAACUGGUUAAUUGAAAAAUAUUUUUGAGCACCUAUUAUAUUUUAGGCACUGUAGGGGAACGUAAAGAAGCAGAAGACAUGUUAGUUUGUCCUCAAUUAAAACAAAAUCUAAUAGGAGAAAUAAAAUCUGAUCUUAUUGACUAAAAGCAGAUCCAUGCUAACACAGAAGAAAUGUUGAGUAGACGUAAGCACUGCAGAGAGCUCUCUUGAUUACUAGGUCUAGAUAUCACUGAAAUGGUACACAUUUUACUUCCCACCUCUAAAAGGAGAGUUUAAAUAGAAAGCUUGGAUUCUUUUCAGAUCUGAUUCAUCAAGAACAGUGACGUCCUUAAGGCUGAAUAUAGAUCUUUGGGACUCAGAGCUGAUCAACACCUUCUCCAGGUCAGAUGUCACCGCUGUCCUCUUGCAGCUGUAUUGUCUCGCAUGGGAGACAGUAUUCCUUGAACUCUGCAGGCACUCCUUCCUCAGCACUUAACACAAGGGAAGAGGGAAUGAGAGCAGAGAUUUAGGUGGUGAUGAGAAAGGUGUUAUCCUGAAAUGGCAUUUUAUUUUGUUAAGGAAAUAAAUUGAUAAUUUUGUGGUU